rnacentral:rRNA from 1 species
GUCUUGGCUGUAAACGGUGCGCAUUUGCUGUAAACGGAAUCGACCCCGUUUGUGGCGAAGCUAACGCGAUAAAUGCGCCGCCUGGGAAGUACGGUCGCAAGAUUAAAACUCAAAGAAAUUGACGGGGGGCCUGCACAAGCGGUGGAGUAUGUGGCUUAAUUCGAUGCAACGCGAAGAACCUUACCUGGCCUUGACAUGCAAGUGGUAGAACCAUGAAAGUGGGACGACCCCGCAAGGGGAGCUUGCACAGGUGCUGCAUGGCUGUCGU